GGUCUCUUAGCUCAACGGGUAGAGCGUGCGGCUGAUAACCGUGACAUAUUGGUUCGAACCCUUUAGAGACCA
rnacentral:tRNA from 1 species